UGAGGGCGGCGGUUGCUGGAGUUCAGCUUUGGGGAGGAGGACGCUGAGGAGGCGCAGAGCCGCGGAGCGCUGCGGGGGAGGCGCCCGCGCAGACGCGAGGCCCAUGGCCAGGACCACCACCUAGCUGGAACCGCCCUGGGCCUCCACCUGGAAUGGGGUCUCUGGCGCCUCCACCUGCGAGGGAAGCAGAAGGUGCAAGUUCUUGCUCAAAGCAUCUGAUGCUCCUGGGCUCCCUUUUCCAGAUUCUUGAUGACAUUGGUCGGAAAAACUCGCCUUUCACGGCCCGGCCAAGGGGCAUUUGGGUGCUUUUCCUGCCCGUGGCUGUGCUCAGCGUUGUGGGAAGCCCCUGGGAGGCCGAAUGUGCAGGAUCACCGAGGGGAAAGUGAGCUUGACAGGAUGCGACUUUUAUUUAUUUCUUUAUUUUUUUGAUGGAGUCUCCAGCGAAGGCUGGAGUGCAGUGACGCGAUCUCGACCCAGGAACCUCCACCUCCUGGGUUCAAGAGAUUCUCCUUCCUCAACUGUAGGGACCAGCCCCACAGGGUCGGUGGGUCUCUCCCCGUGUGCGGCGACGAGAGAGUGUAGAAAUAAAGACACAAGACAAAGAGAUAAAAGAAAAGACAGCUGAGGGCCUGGGGGACCACUACCACCAAUGCGCGGACAAGACCGGUAGUGGCCCCGAAUAUCUGGCUUCGCUGUUACUUAUUGUAUACAAAGCAAAAGGGGCAGGGUAAAGAAUGUGAGUCUUCUCCAAUGAUAGGUAAGGUCACGUGUCCACUGGACAGGGGGCCCUUCCCUGCCUGGCAGCCAAGGCAGAGAGAGAGAGAAGACAAAGAGAAAGCCAGCUUACGCCAUUAUUUCUACAUAUCAGAGACUUUUAGUACUUUCACUAAUUUACUACUGCUAUCUAGAAGGCAGAGCCAGGUGUACAGGAUGGAACAUGAAGGUGGACUAAGAGUGUGACCACUGAAGCACAGCAUCACAGGGAGACGGUUAGGCCUCCGGAUAACUGCGGGAAAGCCUGACUGGUGUCAGGCCCUCCACGAGAGAUGGAGGAGCAGGGUCUUCUUUAAACUCCCCCGGGGAAAAGGUGACUCCCUUUCCCGGUCUGCUAAGUAGCGGGUGUUGUUGCUUGACACCUUUUGCUACCGCUAGACCAUGGUCCGCCUGGCAAUGGGCAUCUUCCCAGAUGCUGGCGUCACCGCUAGACCAAGGAGCCCUCUGGUGGCCCUGUCCAGGCAUAACAGAAGGCUCUCACUCCUGUCUUCUGGUCACACCUCAGUAUGUCCCCUCAGCUCCUGUCUCUGUAUGGCCUGGUUUUUCCUAGGUUAUGAUUAUAGAGCAGGGAUUAUUAUAAUAUUGGGAUAAAGAGUAAUUACUACCAACUAAUGAUUAAUGAUAUAUAUAAUUAUAUCUAAGAUCUAUAUCUGGUAUGACUAUUCUUGUUUUAUAUUUUAUUAUACUGGAACAGCUCAUGUUUCUGGUCUCUUUCCUCGGCACCUGGGUGGCUUGCCGGCCACACUCAACCACCCGAGUAGCUGGGAUUACAGGUGUGUGCCACCAUGCCCGGCUAAUUUUUAUAUUUUUAGUAGAGACCGUCGAAGGUAUGGGCCCUCUUCUGAGAAAAAUGCAGGGUGACACUGAAUUUUGUAACUACAUCAGGAGGCUCUUGAACCUCCUGCAGCUCUCUGUUGGAGUUUGUAGAGAUGCGUGAUAAUCCGAACUGUUAAGGAAGAAGUUUCUGUUGAGGAAAAUGUUGGAGAGUUGAAAGGGAUGCCUUUCGCUAUUUCAGCAUGUGUGGCUGUACCCCAGAGUGCCCUGCUAACACGCAAAACCAUGAAUUAGGCGGCUUGGCGAGCUCAGCGGAGGCUGGGGCCGAGAGUCAUGUCGAAGUUUGUGAGGUUAACCUGCACCCAGUGACAGUCAUGGCGAAGUUUGUGAGGUUAACCUGCACCCAGUGACAGUCAUGGCGAAGUUUGUGAGGUUAACCUGCACCCAGUGACAGUCAUGGCGAAGUUUGUGAGGUUAACCCGCACCCAGUGACAGUCAUGGCGAAGUUUGUGAGGUUAACCUGCACCCAGUGACAGUCAUGGCGAAGUUUGUGAGGUUAACUCGCACCCAGUAACGCUGUUGCAAUGCAAGGUGUGUAUUUGGUGUCAUCCACGGGAAGAGGAAAGAGCAAAUUUUCUCAUGACCUUGGCAGUUCCACGUCAUGGACAUUUAAUAUCUGCAGUUUUCUUCGCAUAAGACGGCUUUUUUGCACAAAAACACUGGAAUCCGGCGAGCAAGAAUGAUAGAAUACAAGAUAGAUUUCCACAUGAGGAAGUCUCACGAACGAGGCUUUUGCAUCUCUGUCAGCUGGAUUCCCCCAUGUGUACGUGUGUGAGAACAUGCCAUGUUUCCUGUCCGUAAUGGUAGAGGCAGCCCUGAUACGGGAUUUUCACCUGAGGAUGGAUAGACCUUCAGGAUUCCAGUGGGUUUGCAUCUGGACUUCAGGGUGGCCCUGUCGGCCCUGUGUGAGAAGCCCCCUUCCCAGUGAACUUUCCCGCGUGUGUACGCGUGGACAGCCAACAGGGGGAAGAGUGCGAGCGUGAAGGCAGACAGUGGCCUGCCCCAGUCUGAUGCUAAGUGGGCCAGAGGCAGUGAAUACCAUUUCUUGAGCUGACUACUCAAGACAGGCGCUUCCCUAGGUACUUUCUUUUUUUUUUUUUUUUUUUUUUUGAGACGGAGUCUCGCUCUGUCACCCAGGCUGGAGUGCAGUGGCGCGAUCUCGGCUCACUGCAAGCUCCGCCUCCCGGGUUCACGCCAUUCUCCUGCCUCAGCCUCUCCGAGUAGCUGGGACUACAGGCGCCUGCCACCAUGCCCGGCUAGUUUUUUUGUAUUUUUAGUAGAGACGGGGUUUCACCGUGGUCUCCAUCUCCUGACCUCGUGAUCCGCCCGUCUCGGCCUCCCAAAGUGCUGGGAUUACAAGCGUGAGCCACCGCGCCCGGCCUUCCCUACGUACUUUCACACCUCAUUGCGAGGUAGGUGUUUUUCCCAUUUUACAGGUGCAGAAGCUGAGCUGCAGAGGCGUUAAGUACCUGCCUCAUAAGUGGUAGAGACCCUGCCCCUCACGUUCGGAGCCCCCGAGGGAGGGUCUGCCGGGCAGCUCAGCCCAGCACUCUGUAAGGAAAUCUUCAGUGCCACUGCCCAGGAUGUCUUCCCGUGGAUUGGGCCUGAAUGUCUUGACCAUGCCAUGUUGGAGGCAGGAGGGGUGUCUUCAUAUGGAAGAUUCAUGCCAUUCUCCUGCCUCAGCCUCCGGAGUAGCUGGGACUACAGGCGCCCGCCACCGCGCCUGGCUAAUUUUUUUUUUUUUUGUAUUUUUAGUGGAGACGGGGUUUCACCAUGGUCUUGAUCUCCUGACCUCGUGAUCCAACCGCCUCGGCCUCCCAAAGUGCUGGAAUUACAGGCGUGAGCCACCGCGCCCGGCCUAAUUAUAAUUUUUAAAAUCUUUUGUACAGAUGGGGUCUCGCUUUGUUGCCCAGGCUGGUCUUGGACUGGAUUAGAGUGAUCCUACCACCUGCUCCUCCCAAAGUGCUGGGAAUACAGGCGUGAGCUACAGCAACUUGGCUGGCAUUUCUUAAAAUACGAGACUAGUUGUCUCGUAUUUUAUAUAAAUACAGGAUUCACAAUCUG